UACGAAGGGGGCUAGCGUUGCUCGGAAUCACUGGGCGUAAAGCGCACGUAGGCGGAUUGCUAAGUCAGGGGUGAAAUCCUGGAGCUCAACUCCAGAACUGCCUUUGAUACUGACGAUCUCGAGUUCGGGAGAGGUGAGUGGAACUGCGAGUGUAGAGGUGAAAUUCGUAGAUAUUCGCAAGAACACCAGUGGCGAAGGCGGCUCACUGGCCCGAUACUGACGCUGAGGCGCGAAAGCUAGGGGAGCAAACGGG
rnacentral:rRNA from 1 species